GCUCUUCCUCUCCUCUCUGCCUCGCCCAAUCUCGGUGCAUUCUCUGCCUUUCGCGCAUCGUACUUUGCCGCCCCUUCUGCGUGCAAGUGCACCCGUAUGGAGCGAUGCCACAGAAAGCGCAACACGGUCGUGGCAUCUUGGAUGUAGAGGCGAGGGAGCCGUUCUGGAGAAAGGGACCUGAAAGGGGCGGGCAGGCGGGCGGGUGCAGGAAACAAAGGCCCACAGACCACUGAAAGAAUACGGCGGCCUUGUUUUGCUGUUCUACCGCCUUCUUUCAGGGGUGCAGGCCGCACGUGUGCUCGUCGGUGGUGCGUAGAUGCACCGAUGGACCGGCCAAUAAGUAGCCAAAGGCCUCUCUCACUCCCUUUCGUCGUCGUCGUCUCUCUGCUGACUUUGCGUGUGCCUGUGUGUGUGCAUCCUUGCCGCUGCUGCUUAUCGGAGUGACGGGUACGGUCCACGCGCAGUGUGUCAUCAUCUUCGUCGUCAGCGCCUAUCAGCAGAAGAGCUAACUCCCUUUUCCAUCAACCUUUGAACGCUUUUGUCCUGCGGCAUCUUCUGCCCUCUGAUUACGGGUGGAGGGAGGGGGCCACAGCGCCCCAGCGCGCGGCCUCACAGGGCCCAGUGCACCCCCCACUCUCCCUCUCUCCUUGUGGGAGAAAGCCAGGCGGUCCCGCCCCCGCCCUAUCCCCAGCCAAAUGCCGAGCCGCCCCUCUGGUGGCCACAGGGCCAAGCACCGGCGACGCGCGGGGGCCAGAGCGAUGCACGGCGACUGAUGUCGGCGGUCAGGUCGUGGAUGGCGCGGCGCCGGAGCGGCCAGCGACCGCGAGCACGCUUGUGCCGCCGACAUGACAAGCCGAGUGCCGGCGUGGCUCGAAGGCAUCUGUCACCCGGCCCUCGCUGCCCACUGGUGGAGGGAGCCUGCGCCACCGCGAGGGGGGUGCACCGGGGGCGGUGGCCGGCAUGACGGGAGCGGCUGUGAGGCUGCCUGCGGAGUGGGGUGUGGGUGGAGUCCGCUGCCGAGGCCGUGCUCUCAGAUGGCUGAGCCGGCGCACUGCUGCACCGGCGUGCGCCUAGGGCUGCGCCGCGCCACGCGACGGGUGGCCUGUGGCAGCGCCGGGGAGGCUCGAGGGCGGAGGUGGACCUCGCGUUGCCUGGCAGAGGAGUGGACUCAUCCUGAGAGGAAGAAAGGAUGUCACUCGCCCCGUUGCACGCCCACACGCAACCUCAUCUCUUACUGUUCUAGAAACAGCGCCCGCUUUUUCUCUUCCUUAUCUUCUCUCUCUGUGCCCCCCCCCCUCCUUGGGGUCGCAUACACAUAUAUACGUGCACACUGUCCUCAUGUGAAAAAACGCGAUACCGAGCGUGAGGCAG
rnacentral:misc_RNA from 1 species